rnacentral:rRNA from 1 species
ACUUUACAAUGCGGGAAACCGUGAUAAGGGAACUCCGAGUGUCCGUAAAUUCGGACUGUCCGUAUGUUUAAAAAGCAUACGAAGAAAGGGCCGGGCAAGACCGGUGCCAGCCGCCGCGGUAAUACCGGCGGCUCGAGUGGUGGCCACUAUUACUGGGCUUAAAGCGUUCGUAGCUUGGUUGUUAAGUCUCUUGGGAAAUCUAUCGGCUUAACCGAUAGGCGUCCAGGGGAUACUGGCAAUCUAGGGACCGGGAGAGGUGAGGGGUACUUCAGGGGUAGGAGUGAAAUCCUGUAAUCCUUGGGGGACCACCUGUGGCGAAGGCGCCUCACCAGAACGGCUCCGACAGUGAGGGACGAAAGCUGGGGGAGCAAACCGG